CUCCGCAGUCGUCCCGGUCGUCACAUCUCCAGCUACUUUGAAUACAGCGUUGAUUAUGGCAUUGAAACAUACCGCUGGCACAUUUGAACGAAAUUCCUAUCAGACAUACAAAAGAUCCUCGCUUUCCUUAUUCCGUCGGAAUAAGCCGCGCUACUGCAUUCGUCCAUUCUAUGCGCGAUCGAAAAAGUAAAUGCUAUUUGGUAUGGAAGUCAAAUGUGUAAUGGCAUCUUGGGAUAUGGGGUAAACAGAUAGGGUCAGAGAUGCAAGAUUCUUCAUAUCCAGAUCACCGCACUCACCUCUGCUUUCAACCCCUUCCAGCGUCACUCUUGCAAGAGCAAAGAGAAGAAAUGUAGAGAUGAUGCUACAAGCCAUUCUCACCAAAGCUAAUGAGAAUCGCGAUAAACUUUCUUGUGUGAGCGGAUGUUUGUUUUAUCGUUACAAGUUAAGGGGCCUUUCGUCGAAUGCUCACCUCAGAAACACUGCGGCACAAUGAGAGAUGGAACCCAUCCAGCGACAUUAGCAUAUUGCACAAAACCACACGAUACCUCACGCCACCUGACGUCACAUGCAGACGUCUCUGGUCACACAAUCUUCCUGAAUUGAGUAAGGUCAAGUAAGAUAACCAGGUAACGGCCUCCGAGUCAGUGCAUUUGAGCAAUUUUGCUUCUUAUAAUCGAGGGAGUCAUUUAGCUUGUUUCAACACAGGGCUAUUAGUAACCUCCACGAUUACUCUGUUGACCAUUUGUCUAGUUGUGGAGUUCCCUUACACAUGGAGUGAACAUAAUUUUCUAUAUUGGCUGCAGGGCCACCCUACCUAGGUAUACGAUUUCUUUAGAGCGCCCCACUUUGAUUGCCUCCCGGGGGGAAUUCUUCAAGGUAAAAGUGAUAAAGAUGCUCGUCGGAAAAUUCGAAAAGCACCAGCACGACCAAAAAUUGCUACCCUAAACAAUACAUCAGGAGCCUUAAAA